rnacentral:lncRNA from 1 species
CAAGAGCUCCGACUAGAGAAGGACAGGUUGCACAAAGCCAGCCUGCGCCUCCAGGCCCGCGCCCAGGAGGUGGAACACAUGAGUAAGGUAGCCUCCAAGAAGUAUGAGGAGGGUGAGCAGGCCUUGCAGGAGGCCCGGCAGAUGCAGACUGAGCAGCAGGGCCGGCUGCAGGUGGUCCAGAGGCAGCAGGAGUGGCUGCGGCAGCAGGAGCAGCGUGUGCAUCAGGCAAGGUUCCAGUCCCCCUCUUGUCCCUCAGGCCCACCUUUGUUUCCGCCCACUGAGUCUCUCUCCUUGGUGCUGGCACAGGAGCACCUGAGCCUGGCCCAGCAGCGGCUGCAGCUGGACCGCGUGCGGCAGGAAGCACCUUCCAGCCUUCCAGGGCUGCCCCCCAGAGCCCAGGGCCCAGCAGCCUCCAGCCUGGAUGCUGUCCAGGCCCCUGCUUCCACUGCUCCUCAGCGUAGCCAGACGGCUGCCGUGCAGAUGCCCACACACCUUCUUGCCAAGCUGCUGCUGCUGAAGCACACAGCAGAGGAGGACCAUGACUUCUUGGAGAAUGAACAGUUCUUCCUGGAGACUCUGAAGAAAGCGCCUUACAAUAUGGCUUACCACUCUGCCUGAAAAUGCCCAUUGCCUCCUCGGCGAGCAUCUGGCCCUGCAGCUCUCUCCCACGGCCGACCAGCUCCCAUGUCCAUGAAAGGCUCCUCAGAACGUACUGCACUACCCAGGGCCUGAUUACAAGUUCUUGUAUGG